ACCGCCAUUACUCAGUAGUUAGAGUGGUGGUCUCGUAAACCAGCAGUAGUGAGUUCCAGUCUCAUUGGUGGCU
rnacentral:tRNA from 1 species